rnacentral:rRNA from 1 species
AUUGAACGCUGGCGGCAGGCCUAACACAUGCAAGUCGAACGGUAGCACAGAGGAGCUUGCUCCUUGGGUGACGAGUGGCGGACGGGUGAGUAAUGUCUGGGAAACUGCCCGAUGGAGGGGGAUAACUACUGGAAACGGUAGCUAAUACCGCAUAACGUCGCAAGACCAAAGAGGGGGACCUUCGGGCCUCUUGCCAUCGGAUGUGCCCAGAUGGGAUUAGCUAGUAGGUGGGGUAACGGCUCACCUAGGCGACGAUCCCUAGCUGGUCUGAGAGGAUGACCAGCCACACUGGAACUGAGACACGGUCCGGACUCCUACGGGAGGCAGCAGUGGGGAAUAUUGCACAAUGGGCGCAAGCCUGAUGCAGCCAUGCCGCGUGUAUGAAGAAGGCCUUCGGGUUGUAAAGUACUUUCAGCGAGGAGGAAGGCAUUAAGGUUAAUAACCUUAGUGAUUGACGUUACUCGCAGAAGAAGCACCGGCUAACUCCGUGCCAGCCGCCGCCGUAA